rnacentral:tRNA from 1 species
GUCGAGUUGCCAGAGUGGUUAAUGGGUAUGACUCGAACAAUCUUGCAAGAGAUCUCAUAGACAUCAUAUGGUUUCGGCCGCGUAGGUUCAAAUCCUGCACUCGACG